CUGAGUAAUCUUCUGAGACGAGUGAGUGGGGAAGGGAAGAGGUCUGGUUGACUCCCCUGCCGUGAAGGGAUUCCCCGUCACUGGAAAGGAGAGGGCUCCACCAGGGAAACAUACUGAGAGCCAGCGCUCGCUGAUGAGCUAAGCAGGAGAAAGCUGCAGAUUCAUCCCUACUCAUCCAUUGGCCCUGCUAAUUAGGCAGAAACACUGGGGGACAACUGGUUUUCUAAUAGGAAGACAACUAUCCAACAUGGUCCUCACUAGAAAGUUGUGUAAGGAGUUGGGUAUCUUGCCAGAUACGCCACUUAGCCCCCCGGGACCUGGAAAGAGACAAAGUAAAAUUAUAAAUUACUUCCCCAAGAGGGAGGAAUGCAUGAGUGAACAAAUUGAACCAAUUAUUGACGAAGUCACUCCUCUCCCCUUACUUACCUUGACCGGUCACAUUACUUCAAAGAGCUUCAACACAACUCUGGAAACACAAAUUCCCCAAGAAGCCUGGCGCAAGAGCUAGUUCUAGCUGAGAAACCUGUGGAAAAUAUUUCUGUCACCUAUAACCAGCGGCCCCUGGCAGAAUUAACAACAUGCCACCAAGACCAGGCGCCCACUUCCAAAUAUACUCAAACUGAACUGAGUGAUGGCCAUCUUCAGGCCCAUUUCCAAGAUAUAAAUAUAGACCUUUCCAACAUAAAACAAUUACUUGACAAUAACAAAUGGGUUAUUGCUGACCCUUGUGGAAAAUUUUAUUCCCCAACCAAAAGAGACAACAGCAACCGAUGCACCCCAAGUGCAUAAACCAGAUGAACUUGUGCAUAACCCAGAUGAACUAGUGAAGAUGAGACAAGCAGUAACAACCAAGAAAUUGCAAAAAAAUAGAUCAAAAGUCCGGGAAAAGAAAACUAAGAACAUUAAAACAACAAGGAAAAUAAAGAUAAGCCGACAUAAACAAUGGCAGAAAUUAUUUAAUCUACUCCCAUUGGACUCAAAUAAAUCUGCUGCACGAGAUAAAAGAGAAUGGCAGGAAGGGGAAAAAGAAGCCAUCGCCAAAGCUAAUGGCUAAGGUGGCAUCUCUGAACCAGAAUUCAGAACUAAGUGGGAGGACGGAAGCAACGUCCCAGAGUUCUGGUAACAGUUCACUCAGCGAACCAGAUUCUGGGGGAGAAGUGGUCCCUAACAAUGAAGGCAGCAAACCGCUUAGCAAAUCGGGAAAUGGGGACGAUGCAAUGCCCAAUCGCGAUGACAACACUAUACAAGAUGGGCAAACCUUUAUUCAGGCAAGAUGUUGGAACCUGAUUUUAAAUCCCUCAAUAUUAGUAUUUACAAACUUCCCAAAAUCAAAGGGCUUCCUUACAGGGAAAGAACGAAGAAUGAGCUCCUUGAACGUUCUGAAUGAUAUAUUGCCAGGAGCAGUAAAGCCAUAUGACAUUAUUUCUGUAGAUUAUUUGCAUCAUGAUGGUUGUUCAAUGAGAGCAAUGAUCACAUUUAGAGACCAGAACCUGGCCAAGUUUAUCUACAGAUCAAGAUAUAUAUUCUUAAAGGCCCAGAUAAAAAUUCUCAGAUUUUUUGAAAACAAGGCACCACCGAAUCCCCUUCUGGAAGCCAAGCACGCAAACCCUAGUAAGGAGAAACAACCUCCCAAAACCCGGCCUGGUCUCCAGAAACGAGAGCUUC